CUGAAAUAUGUCAUCUGCCUGAUCAGCCCCUUAUGCUGAGGUGUCCUGAUCAUUGCUCUGCCCUUCAUCAAUACAGAAGAAGAAAAAUUGCUCUUAAGCUGAGGACAAAAAGACACAGAGGGAGAGCAGAGAGAACUCGGGAUAUUUCAAAAGCAGCAGAAAGGAGGCUUCUCUCAUGUCCCUGCAUGGAGCUGGAGCUGACAGAGGGAGCUCAUUCGUCAGUGUGGGACAGUCAAGGUUCCAUCAUCAUGAAUUGAAUCCUGAAAACAAGAGAACUACCAAGAAUUAGAAGAAGUUCUUUUGCAUGUAUGUUAGAUAUUAAAUAACAUUAACCACUAAUGCUUUUCAAAAGUCUUUCCUCCUAUCUAAGCUUGGGGUGUGUGUGUGUUAAUAUUACCUGCAACCUUAGUGUUGCUCUCUCUCCGUGUAAGCAGAGAUCAAACAAUUCCAUUCAGCAAAUAUUUAAUACAAA
rnacentral:lncRNA from 11 species